GACAGCGUGGGGUAGUGGUUCAAGCAUUGGACUAACACUCGGGAGGCUAAGGUUCGAUUCCGUGCCUGACC